GACGAACGCCGGCGGCGUGCUUAACACAUGCAAGUCGAACGGACCUUCUGAUCUUUUGGUUGGUUGGUUAGUGGCGAACGGGUGAGUAACACGUGAGUAACCUGCCCUUCUCUUCGGGAUAACUGUCGGAAACGGUGGCUAAUACCGGAUAUUCGUAUGCUGUCGCAUGGUGGUGUGUGGAAAGAUUUUUUGGUGGGGGAUGGACUCGCGGCCUAUCAGCUUGUUGGUGAGGUAGCGGCUUACCAAGGCUUUGACGGGUAGCCGGCCUGAGAGGGCGACCGGCCACACUGGGACUGAGAUACGGCCCAGACUCCUACGGGAGGCAGCAGUGGGGAAUAUUGCACAAUGGGCGGAAGCCUGAUGCAGCGACGCCGUGUGCGGGAUGACGGCCUUCGGGUUGUAAACCGCUUUCAACUGUGACGAAUUUGACGGUAGCAGUAGAAGAAGCACCGGCUAACUACGUGCCAGCCGCCGCUGUAACAC
rnacentral:rRNA from 1 species